rnacentral:rRNA from 1 species
AAUGUCAUCGGAUACUAUCUGGCUCGAGGAUCGGAGGGGAGACUGGAAUUCUCGGUGUAGCAGUGAAAUGCGUAGAUAUCGAGAGGAACACCAGUGGCGAAGGCGAGUCUCUGGACGAUUCCUGACACUGAGGCACGAAAGCUAGGGGAGCAAACAGGAUUAGAUACCCUGGUAGUCCUAGCUGUAAACGGUGCACGUUUGCUGUGAGCGGAUUCGACCCCGCUCGUGGCGAAGCUAACGCGUUAAACGUGCCGCCUGGGGAGUAUGGUCGCAAGAUUAAAACUCAAAGAAAUUGACGGGGGCCUGCACAAGCGGUGGAGUAUGUGGCUUAAUUCGAUGCAACGCGAAGAACCUUACCUGGCCUUGACAUGCAGGUUGUAGAAGCCUGAAAGGGUAACGACCCCGCAAGGGGAGCUUGCACAGGUGCUGCAUGGCUGUCGUCAGCUCGUGUCGUGAGAUGUUGGGUUAAGUCCCGCAACGAGCGCAACCCUUGUGUCCUGUUGCCACUCCUGCGAGAGUAGGAAGCACUCUGGACAGACUGCCUCGCUUAAACGAGGAGGAAGGUGGGGAUGACGUCAAGUCAGGAUGGCCCUUACGGCCAGGGCUGCACACGUACUACAAUGCCCGGUACAAUGGGAAGCAAAAUCGUAAGGUGGAGCAAAUCCCAAAAAGUCGGGCUCAGUUCAGAUUGUAGGCUGCAACUCGCCUACAUGAAGCUGGAAUCG